rnacentral:lncRNA from 10 species
CUGCCCUAGUACCUGUCUGUCACAACAAGUUAACUCCUCUGUGAUGCGGACGUGGUCAGAGAGCCCCCCUAACACUGUCGCCAUCCUGAUUCCCAAGGCAGCCCUGGCCUGCUCACUGAAGCUGGGGAGAGAGGAUGAUGACAAGCUAAGACCACAAAUCUCUCCUGAGGGAGUCAGGGGAGCAGGAGAUGUGGGUGGUGCUGAGCUCCCACUGCCUCCCAGGGCAGAGAGGACCGCAGUCCAGUCCUCAACCUGUGCGAAAGGUUUGGGGAAAUGACAACUGAGGCUAGCACAGACUUGCUCUUAUGGAAAUGGUAGAAUUCUGAAAGAAAAACAAAGCAUUCAAGAACUUUUGAGCCUAAGCCCCAAGCUGGCACACUGUUAUGUUUGCAGUCUUCUAUUGGCCACAGCAAAUAAGGCCAGCUGAGAUCCAAGGUUUGGGAAACAGAGUCUGCUUCUUAAUGAGAACAUCUGUACAAGCACACUGCAAAGGGUCUGGAUACAGGGAAGGAUGAUGAAUUGAUGCCAUUUUUGCAAUCAGUAUCACUAUGCAUUUUCUUGCAGAGCUACUAAUGUGUGGACAGAGUCUGCGGCCGUGGCAGGUGGCACACACUGGCAAUGAUGACCAGAGCCACGGUGACAGUGGCAGCCUGCUCCCUGGACUCUGCGUCCCGAAGCACGUGCCAGGCUGCAGCAGCAUCCACAGUGGACAGGGAGCCACGGGAAGCGGGCUGCCAUCAAGCCACAAUUUCACCAGCUCUGCUCUUGGGUGGAACCACUACUUCCCGCCAGAGCUUGCAGAUGAAGCAAAGAGGGGCCAUGGAGGGAUCCAGGGCUGACUGCUUGGAGCCUUGGUUUUCCUGCAUUUUACAAAUGGAGUUGUAGUCAUAAACCUGCCACCUCAUUUAAUUUCCAGUGAUGCUGUAAAACUAAACGAAAUUUUGAAAAUUGUGUAAGACCAU